ACUGGUAGCUUAGUCUGCAGAGCAUGAGACUCUUAAUUCCAGGGUUGUGGGUUUGAGCCCCACGUUGGGUG
rnacentral:tRNA from 1 species